rnacentral:tRNA from 1 species
GGGACCUUGGCGCAGUUGGCUAGCGCGCAGGUCUCAUACUACAGUGUGAUCUGGUUUAAAUCAGAGUAAUCCUGAGGUCGGGAGUUCGAGCCUCCCAGGUCCCA